AUACGGAGGGUCCGAGCGUUAAUCGGAAUUACUGGGCGUAAAGCGCGCGUAGGUGGUUCAGUCAGUCAGAUGUGAAAGCCCCGGGCUCAACCUGGGAACUGCACCUGAUACUGCUGAGCUAGAGUACGGUAGAGGGCAGUGGAAUUUCCGGUGUAGCGGUGAAAUGCGUAGAGAUCGGAAGGAACACCAGCGGCGAAGGCGAGUGCCUGGACUGAUACUGACACUGAGGUGCGAAAGCGUGGGUAGCAAACAGGAUUAGAUACCCUGGUGGUCCACGCCGUAAACGAUGUCAACUAGCCGUUGGGGGACUUGAUCCUUUAGUGGCGAAGCUAACGCGAUAAGUUGACCGCCUGGGGAGUACGGCCGCAAGGUUAAAACUCAAAUGAAUUGGCGGGG
rnacentral:rRNA from 1 species